GACGAACGCUGGCGGCGUGCCUAAUACAUGCAAGUUGAGCGCUGAAGGUUGGUACUUGUACCGACUGGAUGAGCAGCGAACGGGUGAGUAACGCGUGGGGAAUCUGCCUUUGAGCGGGGGACAACAUUUGGAAACGAAUGCUAAUACCGCAUAAAAACUUUAAACACAAGUUUUAAGUUUGAAAGAUGCAAUUGCAUCACUCAAAGAUGAUCCCGCGUUGUAUUAGCUAGUUGGGGAGGUAAAGGCUCACCAAGGCGAUGAUACAUAGCCGACCUGAGAGGGGGAUCGGCCACAUUGGGACUGAGACACGGCCCAAACUCCUACGGGAGGCAGCAGUAGGGAAUCUUCGGCAAUGGACGAAAGGCCGACCGAGCAACGCCGCGUGGAUGAAGAAGGUUUUCGGAUCGGAAAACUCUGGUUGUAGGGAAGAACGGUGGUGAGAGUGAAAAGCUCAUCAAGUGACGGUAACUACCCAGAAAGGGACGGCUAACUACGUG
rnacentral:rRNA from 1 species